rnacentral:rRNA from 1 species
UCGCUUGAAUCAACGCUGGCGGCGUGCCUAACACAUGCAAGUCGAACGAGAAAGGGACUUCGGUCCUGAGUAAAGUGGCGCACGGGUGAGUAACACGUGACUAACCUACCCUUGAGUGGGGAAUAACUAGGAGAAAUCUUAGCUAAUACCGCAUAAUACCUACGGGUCAAAGGAGCAAUUCGCUUAAGGAGGGGGUCGCGGCAGAUUAGUUAGUUGGCGGGGUAAUGGCCCACCAAGACAGUGAUCUGUAUCCGGCCUGAGAGGGCGCACGGACACACUGGAACUGAAACACGGUCCAGACUCCUACGGGAGGCAGCAGUGGGGAAUUUUGCGCAAUGGGGGAAACCCUGACGCAGCAACGCCGCGUGGAGGAUGAAGUCUCUUGGGACGUAAACUCCUUUCGAUCGGGACGAUAAUGACGGUACCGAGAGAAGAAGCCCCGGCUAACUUCGUGCCAGCAGCCGCGGUAAUACGAGGGGGGCGAGCGUUGUUCGGAAUUAUUGGGCGUAAAGGGUGCGUAGGCGGUUCGGUAAGUCUUGUGUGAAAUCUUCAGGCUCAACUUGAAGUCUGCACGAGAAACUGCCGGGCUUGAGUAUGGGAGAGGUGAGUGGAAUUUCCGGUGUAGCGGUGAAAUGCGUAGAUAUCGGAAGGAACACCUGUGGCGAAAGCGGCUCACUGGACCAUAACUGACGCUGAGGCACGAAAGCUAGGGGAGCAAACAGGAUUAGAUACCCUGGUAGUCCUAGCCCUAAACGAUGAUCGCUUGGUGUGGCGGGUACCCAAUCCCGUCGUGCCGAAGCUAACGCGUAAGCGAUCCGCCU